rnacentral:rRNA from 1 species
AUUGAACGCUGGCGGCAGGCCUAACACAUGCAAGUCGAGCGAGCGGCGGACGGGUGUGUAAUGCCUGGGAAUUGCCCAGUAGAGGGGGAUAACAGUUGGAAACGACUGCUAAUACCGCAUACGAUUGGAUUGCCCAGGUGGGAUUAGCUAGUUGGUGAGGUAAUGGCUCACCAAGGCGACUAUCCCUAGGUGGUCUGAGAGGAUGAUCAGCCACACUGGAACGGAGACCCGGUCCAGGUGCCUACGGGAGGCGGCAGUGGGGAAUAUUGCACAAUGGGGGAAACCCUGAUGCAGCCAUGCCGCGUGUGUGAAGAAGGCCUACGGGUUUGAAAGCACUUUCAGCGAGAAGGCGUUACUCACAGAAGAAGCACCGGCUAACUCCGUGCCAGCAGCCGCGGUAAUAC